rnacentral:rRNA from 1 species
AGAGUUUGAUCCUGGCUCAGGACGAACGCUGGCGGCGUGCUUAACACAUGCAAGUCGAGUGGAACACCUUUUAUUGAAGCUUCGGCAGAUUUAGCUGGUUUCUAGUGACGGACGGGUGAGUAACGCGCGGGUAACCUGCCCUAUACAGGGGGAUAACAACCAGAAAUGGUUGUUAAUACCGCAUAAGCGCACAGGACCGCAUGGUCCGGUGUGAAAAACUCCGGUGGUAUAGGAUGGACCCGUGUUGGAUUAGCCAGUUGGCAGGGUAACGGCCUACCAAAGCGACGAUCCAUAGCCGGCGUGAGAGGGUGACCGGCCACAUUGGGCCUGAGACACGGCCCAGACUCCUACGGGAGGCAGCAGUGGGGAAUAUUGCACAAUGGGGGAAACCCUGAUGCAGCGACGCCGCGUGAAGGAAGAAGGUUUUCGGAUUGUAAACUCCUGUCGUUAGGGACGAUAAUGACGGUAGCUUAGGAGAAAGCCCCGGCUAACUACGUGCCAGCAGCCGCGGUAAUACGUAGGGGGCAAGCGUUGUCCGGAAUUACUGGGUGUAAAGGGAGCGCAGGCGGAGAAGCUAGUCAGUGGUGAAAACGAUGGGCUUAACUCAUCGACUGCCAUUGAAACUGUUUCCCUUGAGUGAAGUAGAGGCAGGCGGAAUUCCGAGUGUAGCGGUGAAAUGCGUAGAUAUUCGGAGGAACACCAGUGGCGAAGGCGGCUUGCUGGGCUUUAACUGACGCUGAGGCUCGAAAGUGUGGGGAGCAAACAGGAUUAGAUUCCCUGGUAGUCCACACUGUAAACG